UCCUUCAAAGGGGAGGUGGCAGAGAAACUAAUUUCACCUAACUCAAAGUGUGUGGAAGGCUGAGAAAAUAUAAAAAGCUACUUAAAUUUUACAUAUGUUAAUUUUCCAUUGGUUGUUACAUUUAAUUACCCUUAUUAAGUUGUAUUUGGUGUAAUACUAACUCUUUUUAUUUCAUUUUCCAGUUUUCAUUUCUUCUCCUUCCUCUUUCCUGUUUUUAUCUUUUAAGUUCUGCAAAAAUAUUUGGGAAUCUAUUUCUCACAGCCCUUAGCAUAAGGCUAUUUUAAUCCUUGUUAGAUAAAUCCAUUUCGGAGCCGUGUUCCCAAUUGCAGAAUCAACAAUUUCCAUCUCUUUUUUUGCAUAUGAAAAAUGAAACCCACCAUUAAACCUCUCAGAACUCAAUUCUUACUUCUACUGCUUCUUCUACUGUUAUCGGCAAGCGGGUUUACUUUUGGGAGAUACAAUUCGAAAGCCAUUGAGUAGUAGGAGAACCCAAAUCGGGUACCCAAAUGCGACAAUAUUGGGUCAAAAUCUAAUUGUGUGCAGAAGCAAGAUUGUCGAUGGUGUAAAAGUGAAGUUCUUUUUUACACUUGUUUCUCUAAAUUUGAAGCUUCUAGAUUACCCUCUCAGAUCUUUCACUUGUCAUGUUGUUAAAUUGAGAUAAAAGUGAAAAGAAAAAGUUACCUUGUUGUUUUUAGUUUUUGUUUUUAAUUUUGUUCCUUUUUCCCCAUGAAUUUUGAGUUUUUUGGAUAAGUUAAUUUGAG
rnacentral:lncRNA from 1 species